CACACACACUUUUUUGAAGGUUCUUCAACUGUCCUUUUUCCACAGACGUUUCUGCGUGUGAGGACCAACAGACAUACAAGACUGAAUGUCGAUGACUGGUGCUACGCCAAACCCGCACCUUUAAGUCCCCACAACAGAAGUCACCUAACCCCAGACUGCAAAAGAUCUGUCAGGAUCGGCAAACUGAAGAGGAGGAGACCUUACGAGGGCCAGG
rnacentral:lncRNA from 1 species